GACGAACGCUGGCGGCGUGCUUAACACAUGCAAGUCGAACGGAAAGGCCCUGCUUUUGUGGGGUUCUCGAUUGGCGAACGGGUGAGUGAAACGUGAGUAACCUGCACUUAUCUUACUGGUAACUUCUCGAAACUGGGGCGAAUACCGCGUAGAAGCUCCUGCUGCAUGGUGGUGGUUAGAAAGUUUCGGCGGUUGGGGCUGGACUCGCGGCUUAUCAGCUAGUUUGGGUAGUAGUGGUGUCCCAGGGCUUUGACGGGUAGCCGGCCUGAGAGGGUGACCGGCCACAUUGGGACUGAGAUACGGACCAGACGCCUACGGGAGGCAGCAGUGGGGAACAUGGCACAAUGGGCGGAAGCCUGAUGCAGAAACGUUGCGUGCGGGAUGCCGGCCUUCGGGUUGUAAACCGAUUUCGACUGUGACGAAGAGUGCGUGACGGUAAUGGGUAAAGAAGCACCGGCUAACUACGUG
rnacentral:rRNA from 1 species